rnacentral:rRNA from 1 species
AACCGACUCAGGUGGACGGGGUGAAUAUCCCAAGGCGCGUGAGAGAACCCUGGUUAAGGAACUCUGCAAAUUUACACCGUAACUUCGGGAGAAGGUGUGCCGCUGGCGGUUAGUGACUUCGCGUCACGAAGCUGUCGGUGGUCGCAGUGAAAUGGCGGUUGUGACUGUUUACUAAAAACACAGGACUCUGCGAAGUCGUAAGACGACGUAUAGGGUCUGAUGCCUGCCCGGUGCUGGAAGGUUAAGGGGAUAUGUCAGCGCAAGCGAAGCAUUGAACCGAAGCCCCAGUAAACGGCGGCCGUAACAAUAACGGUCCUAAGGUAGCGAAAUUCCUUGUCGGGUAAGUUCCGACCUGCACGAAGGGCAUAACAACAUCCGCACUGUCUCGACCAGGGACUCAGCGAAAUUACAUUGGGGGUGAAGAUGCCCUCUACCCGCGGAAAGACGGAAAGACCCCAUGAACCUUUACUGCAACUUGGCAGUGAUUUUCGGGUUGUUCUGCGUAGGAUAGGUGGGAGGCUUUGAAGUCGGGCUUCCGGGUUCGACUGAGCCAACGUUGAAAUACCACCCUGAAUAAUCUGGAAAUCUAACCUGCGCCCAUGAUCUGGGCGAGGGACACUGCCUGGUGGGCAGUUUGACUGGGGCGGUCGCCUCCUAAAUUGUAACGGAGGCGUGCGACGGUUCCCUCAGGCUGAUUGGAAACCAGCCGUAGAGUGCAAACGCAUAAGGGAGCUUUACUGCGAGACUGACAAGUCGAACAGUUGCGAAAGCAGGUGUUAGUGAUCCUGUGGUACCACAUGGAAGGGCCAUCGCUCAUCGGAUAAAAGGUACUCUGGGGAUAACAGGCUGAUCGCGCCUGAGAGUUCACAUCGGCGGCGCGGUUUGGCACCUCGAUGUCGGCUCAUCGCAUCCUGGGGCUGGAGCAGGUCCCAAGGGUUUGGCUGUUCGCCAAUUAAAGCGGUACGCGAGCUGGGUUUAAAACGUCGUGAGACAGUUUGGUCCCUAUCUUCCGUGGGCGCAGGACACUUGAGAGGAGCUAUCCAUAGUACGAGAGGACCUGGAUGGACGAACCUCUGGUGCUCCGGUUGUCACGCCAGUGGCAUAGCCGGGUAGCCAUGUUCGGAACAGAUAACCGCUGAAGGCAUAUAAGCGGGAAGCUGGCCUCAAGACUAGGUGUCCCUGACGCAAGUCACUAAAGGCCCCUCGAAGACUACGAGGUUGAUAGGCUCGGUGUGGAAGCGCUGCAAGGCGCGGAGCUAACGAGUACUAAUAGGCCGUGCGACUUGACCCC